CAGCCGCGGUAAUACGAAGGGUGCAAGCGUUAAUCGGAAUUACUGGGCGUAAAGCGUGCGUAGGCGGUUUGUUAAGUCUGUUGUGAAAUCCCCGGGCUCAACCUGGGAAUGGCAAUGGAUACUGGCAAGCUAGAGUGUGUCAGAGGAUGGUGGAAUUCCCGGUGUAGCGGUGAAAUGCGUAGAGAUCGGGAGGAACAUCAGUGGCGAAGGCGGCCAUCUGGGACAACACUGACGCUGAGGCACGAAAGCGUGGGGAGCAAACAGGAUUAGAUACCCGAGUAGUCCCUGUCUCUUAUACACA
rnacentral:rRNA from 1 species